rnacentral:rRNA from 1 species
UAGAUCUCAAAUCAGGCAGGAUUACCC